rnacentral:rRNA from 1 species
UUGACCUCAAAUCGGGUGAGACUACCCGCUGAUCUUAAGCAUAUCAAUAAGCGGAGGAAAAGAAACUAACAAGGAUUCCCCUAGUAACUGCGAGUGAAGCGGGAAAAGCUCAAAUUUAAAAUCUGGUGGUCUCUGGCCAUCCGAGUUGUAAUUUAGAGAAGCGUCUUCCGCGCUGGACCGUGCACAAGUCUCCUGGAAUGGAGCGUCAUAGAGGGUGAGAAUCCCGUCUUUGGCACGGAUGUCCCGGGGCUUUUGUGAUGCGCUCUCGAAGAGUCGAGUUGUUUGGGAAUGCAGCUCAAAAUGGGUGGUGAACUCCAUCUAAAGCUAAAUAUUGGCGAGAGACCGAUAGCGAACAAGUACCGUGAGGGAAAGAUGAAAAGCACUUUGGAAAGAGAGUGAAACAGUACGUGAAAUUGUUGAAAGGGAAACGCUUGAAGUCAGUCGCGUCGACCGAGACUCAGCCUUGCUUCGGCUUGGUGUACUUCUCGGCUUGACGGGUCAGCGUCAAUUUUGUCCCUCGGAUAAUGGCGAGAGAAAGGUGGCACCUUUGCGGGUGUGUUAUAGUCUCUUGUCGCAUGCGAGGGCCAGGAUUGAGG